GGAUGGAUAGAGGUAUUGCUCACGGAAUCGACUCUGGUUCUCAUACGUAUGCUCAGAAAUUUGGGUUGAAAGCAAUUUCAAUUCUCUGUUUUCGUGUUGUUUAUUUGGAAAUGGUUGACUUAAGGGGUUCAAUUCCAGCUCAAAUCUAUUAUCUAUCUGAGUUUCUGGGUGAAAUUUCGUUCGAUGAAUUGGUUGCUUGUGGCUUGUGGUGUUUGAUCCUUAGUAGAAGGUCAUGG